UGGGGAAUCUUGCGCAAUGGGCGAAAGCCUGACGCAGCGACGCCGCGUGCGGGAAGAAGGCCUUCGGGUUGUAAACCGCUUUCAGGGGGGAAGAAGCGAAAGUGACGGUACCCCCAGAAGAAGCCCCGGCCAACUACGUGCCAGCAGCCGCGGUAAUACGUAGGGGGCGAGCGUUGUCCGGAAUUAUUGGGCGUAAAGAGCUCGUAGGCGGUUCGGUAAGUCGGAUGUGAAAUCUCAGGGCUCAACCCUGAAACUGCAUCCGAUACUGCCGGACUUGAGGCAGGUAGGGGAAGGUGGAAUUCCUGGUGUAGCGGUGAAAUGCGCAGAUAUCAGGAGGAACACCAAUGGCGAAGGCAGCCUUCUGGGCCUGUACUGACGCUGAGGAGCGAAAGCGUGGGGAGCGAACAGG
rnacentral:rRNA from 1 species